CCGAAUCCUUUCUAAACUCGGGUCAGUGAUUACUGAUGUAUAACAAAAUUAAAUUUCGAAUAUAUAAAAAUAUAUAAAAUCUUUAAGAAUAUCCUACCUUUUAAAUCUUAACUCUAUAAUUUAAUAAAAAAUAAUUACCUAAUAUAAAGUCUGCGAUAAAAAUCAUACAAAUUUGUAAGAGCCCAAAUUUGUCCAGCCCGAAUAAAAAACCAAAAAUAAAAAAUAAAAAAAUAAAUAAUCAAAUAAAAAGUUCAAGUCCAAUUACAAUAAUGACCCAAAUACAAAAAAAAAACCCCAAGGCCUAAAAUAUAUAACCUAACACAAAACCCUAAAGCCCAAUAACCCAGGCCCAAACUACCAACCCAAUCCCACAACCUAAACUUUUCAGAAAACUAAAAAACCCUAGCCCUUUGAGCCGCCGCUCCUUGUCACGUCAGUAGGCACUUUGCCUAAAGAC
rnacentral:lncRNA from 1 species